AGGAUAACGUUUGGCGAGGGGGGGAAAUGAAAAAAAACCAUUCAUGCUCCUCGGGUAACCCCUCAAUAUCAACUCUUAGAUUUCCUUUCAAACCCCGCCAGAUUAUUUAAGGAGGUGUAUCUUUCUGCAAAGUGUUUUUGAUUCCGCUUUAGAUUCCACCAGGCACUUAGGAAACGUGGUGGGGAAACGAACAAGAUUAAUGAAAGCGUUUCUUAGUUGAACAUAAAAGGUAAAUAAAUUUUUAAGGUGGGAAGAGAAAAACACCGGAGUUUAUAUGAAAAUUGGACUCUGUGUGUGUGUGUGUACAUGCGCGCGCUUUUCUAUUUCUCCCUCUCCCCCCACCACACUCCCCCCCCCCCCCGUCCAUCAAGGACAGUUGAUCAUAUGAAGGAGACUUAGAAAAGGUUUUGAGCUGUUGUUAGGUAGAAUCCCGCGAAUACAAAGCCCGGGCAUUUGGUGGUUGGUUGGGUUGGGGUGUGUUUUAAAAGACUAUAAAAUGGCACACUGCAUUUCUGCAUUUUUCCAGGCUGCAGAAGAGGGGGGGCGGGGGAUAGUGCAGACUGUGUAGGGACACUGCCCUUCUAACCAAUCAGAGCACGCCUGUUUGCCAUUACAAAGUUGUUAACCCCAGAGUCUUCUGGCUCCUGCUGCCUUUGCUUUUAAUCUUUGGAUAUUUCUCAGGUUUACUCGAAUCCCCCCCACCUCGCCAGAUAUGGAGAAAAAACCUUCGGAAGCGACUGCCGACCAUGGGAAGGAGAUUCUAUUUUCAUUUGCAAAGGUUUUUAAAGAUGUUGGAUGAUUAUUUCGCUGCCUGGAACUGGUUGAUUGUAAGGGAGAAACUAUACACAGACUCUUUCUUUCCAGUCGGGAAAAGGCAGCUGGCUGCUUCCUUUCGAGGAUCUCAGGGAUCUCCAGAUGUCCCCAGACUUCAAGAACUGCUGGCCUUUGACAUGUACUGUUCCCAGGCAGUGGUCUUAUCCAGUCUUGACUAAAAAUGUCAGUUCCAAAACAGACCCAUCUAAUCAAGCAUAUAGUCAAUAACAGCCAACAAAGGUAAUAGAUAUGAAAUUAAUACUUGUCAUGUAUUCAGUUCAUCACAGCGUUUCGCAUUCAGCGGUAUUGGCUGUCCUUACAAAUAGCAUUUUUGAAUAGGGACAAACCUUAUUAGCUUUUGUAAGGAAGGGCAUCCAUCAGGGAAUAUGAGCAAACUGAAUGACAAAGGCCUAAUUAUACAAUUAACAUACUUGUGUGAUUUGCAUGAUGACAUCACAACAGGUCAUUUUGACAUCAUUGCAGUUUAUUGAAACUUAUGCUUUCAGUUCAGACACAUUAAUUUUAUUCUUAGUUAUUUUAAUUAAUUGUGCAUUUCAGUGGGAUUAAGCAGGAGGACAUACCCACCAAUGUUUCUGGACAACUCUUCAAAAUUGUCAUUUAGGGUUAAUAGGUUAUUAUCAUAAUUUAAUAAUUUGCCUAAAUUAUAAAUAUUGAGUUCUAAGUAAAUAUACAUGACUAUGGAAUUUGAUUAAAGAAUGUGAAACUAUACUACUUUAUUAAUAUAAUAAUUUAUGUUUGUGGCUAACUUAUACUUAUGUUUUAUAUUUCCUUUUUCAUAACUAAUAUUUUAGGGUCAUUUUUCUUUAGUUAAAAUGCAUGUGCUACUGCAGCUGUAACACAAAUUUAUAAUACAGGAAGGAAGGAGUCAAUGUAGCAAAAGUUUGUAAAAGGGUUAUAAGAUUAUGCCUUUAGGCAGGCAAUAUUCCCAAUAUUUUAUAAAAAGUUUAUACCUCAGUCCACUAUCAGCCAUGAGAAUAUUUGAUAGACUGGACUGAUUUAUAUAUUAUCUAAUUUGGCUUGUUAGGAUUUGGUUGAGUAUUUUGUCCUAAUCCUAGCUGUUUUAGUUUAGUUAAUAAACUAAAAAAAUAAUAAAGGAUAGCUUAGAAAAUUUGAGCACAGUGUUAAGUCUUUUAAUUAACCUGCAAAUAUUAUCAUUUUUUUUCAAAAGCAGUAUUCAUUUUUAUCUGAAGCAAAAAAAAUCAUGAAUACAUAGUAACUACAUUAAAUAUAUUUAUCAGGACAAGUUCACAAGACAGGCAAGUUGCAAAUAUGCAGAAUAAAAACUUAUGACUUGCAGUCUAUGGAAAUUCUCAGUCAUCCAGCUCAUGGUUUUCCCAAAGGUGCUUUUCCAGGAGGCAACUGGACUUUCUUGUUUUUUCUUUGAAGAUAUUUCACUUCUCAUCCAGAAAGUUUCUUCAGCUCAGACUAGAUGGGGGACAGUGAAAGGACACAGGACAGAACAUAACCUGCAGCCAAGAAGGCUCCAAACCAGGGUUCUUCAAACUUUUUAAAUGGACUAAUUCAAGGUCCCUCAGACUGUUGGGGGGGGGGAGUGGACCGACUGGGUGGUGAGACCAAUUUAAGGGGAGGGAUGUGGUUGAGGGGGGGAAUUGCGAACAACUGGGUGUGAUUGCUUUUUGCCUGCUGGAAAUGGGCAUGCUUUUACCACCUCUACUUGCAAGGGGAACAUGCUCCACGGGGAGGCCAAGGACAAGACCUGCGAAGGGAUCAAGGAGAUGAAAACCUGCUCCCCAACUGCAAACCAAGAGACGGGAUGGAGUAGGUAGCAGCUAUCACACACCCUACUCACCUUGUCUUAACCCACAAUAGUAGUCAAAGGUAGAGGCAAGGGAGAGACAAGCGGUCCGACCUGCUGGAUGUGUCAGGCAGCCACCUCCCCUGCCUCAGCCACAUGGAAUGGAGCAAAAGUGUCCAGUGGUCCACAUCACAUGCCUCCCCCAACACUCAGUGCCAGUGCUGCUGCUGCCAUGCCUAUUUCUUGAAGGGCCAUCUGCGGAGUCCCUGCUGCUGGAUACCUGUAUCUUGACGGAUGCUGUUCCUUUUGUAUCUGAAGGAAAUGGCAGACACCGGCAUCUUGCCCUCCACCCAGACUCUGCAGCUGCUGCGGACCGUGAGGCUGCACUGUCCACAUCACUCCUGUGCCAGCUGCCCACCGACUCACACCCUUCGGAUGUGCACAACAGGCUCAAGCAAGGGCUCUGUGCAUCUGGCAGCAGGAUCAGACCAGGCAUGCCUCACUAGGAGCGGAUCUGGCAAGGAAUCCCUAAGGUGGGGGCUCAUCUGCCGGCCAGCUGACUUCUUCCUGCCUCCCUCACCAGUGGAGACAGCUGUCCUCCUUCAGGGGCAGGUAGCCUCUCCAGCCACUGCCUCAGAACUGCAGAGUGGCAGAAGGACAAGCAGCCAAGCAAAGAGGGGGAGGGGAAGAAGGCAGCAGGGGUGGCUGUUGCAGCGGCCGCUUCUUAGUUUGCUGCCAUUUUUCCAGGCCUGCUUCACCAACAGGCUCCCACUGGCUUGCAGGAGCCUCUUUUGGGCCGGGCGCUCCAGGGCCACUGCGGCUGCUUGGAGCACGCUGGUUGAUCUCUGUCCAGACUCCAGGAACAGAUGAACAGAGGAAGCCCAAGCUAAAAAACAGAAGUGGAGGAUGCCGGUUUCCCCUCUCAAGGCCUCUGUGCAUCCCAUUUUUGGCCUUCCCAUCCCCCAGAAGCACUCUGCCAGCCAAAACUGUUGGCCUUACCUUUCAGUUCCAGCCCACAGGCUCGCAAAAGUAAGGUCUGCGCUCGGCCAGAGCCGGCAGGGUAGCCUCUUGGUCCGGUGCAGGACGGAUUAAUGGCUUUAGCGAGCCAAUGUUUGAGGACCCCUGCUCCAAACCCAUUAGCACUAUUCAGGUGUUCCUGAGAAUACAGAUAAACCACCAGAUGGCCGUAACUUUCUAAAAGAAUACAGAUGACAAGCUGUAAGGAAUAUAAACCCUUCCAUUACCCAUCAUCCAAUUAAAGCUGAAGAAGCUUCUUGGAUGAGAAGCAAAAUGUCUUCAAAGAAAAAAUAAAUCUAGUUGCCUCCUGAAAAAGCACUUUUAGGACAAUUAUGGUUUAUGGGAAAAUAUGGAUUCUAUAGACAUAUAUGGGUAUAACAAAUGAGACUUUCACAAUCAAUAUUUUGCUACCAUCUUGUACUUAAGUCUUUCUGAAUUCUGAUUUUUACAAUCAGCCAUAUUUAUUUUGAUUGUUCUAUUUUUCUUAACUAAUCUGGAUACUCUUAAAAAGGAAGAAUAUAAUACAAAAUACAUGCAACUUACAUAUUACAGAAUAAUGUGAACUCUUUAUAUCCAUUGUGUAAUAUUUAUGAAGUAUUUCUUCAAAUAAGCCUCCGAGGAAUUUGAAAUGUAUAAUCCAGCUAUAAAUUUCUUGUCUUCAUCUGUUCUAGAGUAAGACUCAAUCUCAGAAAUAUGGAGUGGCUCUGGAUUUGAAGCCCUGGUGAUUCCAUUAACUUAGCAUUUUUCCUCCAAACUAGGUAACCCAUGAACCAUUGGUUCAGAUAUAUUUUCUUAAAUCAACAAGCAGUAUGAACAUGGAUGGGCAAAAAAGCAGUGAGAAUGAAUUCCUAUUUCCUGCAGGCUUCUCCAUUGACUUUACUUGUGGAAAGCUUGUUAGGCGCAUUGGAAGUCAUGAUCACCUGGCUGCAGCAGUACUCAGGGUCAGUGGUAGCACUGCAGCAGCUAUAACUUUGCUAAUACAUCUGGUGUUAAGAUCCUUUUCUUAAAAUUUCAGCCCCAUGGGGAUAAUGGGCCCUGGAUUUUUAGAUGCAUUUUUAAGUUAGCCCACUAGAGAUAACUUGAUUCAAACAUUAUUGCUCUAUAGUGCAUUGUUUUGCCCAGUUGAGGUUACAAAAGGCAGAGUUCUAGCUGUAUAUAAAUAAAUUAUAGUUGCUCUAAUAUCUGGUUCACCUGGUUUGACAACUCAUGCUCAAGAUGGAAGCUGUUACAACCAUUUUCAGGAAUGCCCACUCAGAGCCCAUAACCACUGUCUUAUUACAUCCAAGAUAUCUCUCAGUUGGACUACUGAAGUGCACUCCAGGUGGGACAGCUUUUGAAAAGCAUUUGGAAGUUACAACUGCUCCAGAAUACAACUCUGGACCAGUUGUAAUGAAUUAAUGCAUACAUCUUGAGGCACCUAUGUAAUACCUGUCAUUCAAGAGCUGCACUGGUUUCUAGCUGGCUGUCUCCUUUAAAUUCCUUCAUGAUUUUAGGACCUGGAUAACUGGAGGAUUGCAUUCGCUUGAUAUCUGCUGUCCAGUAACAUAAGAAGGAAGCUCUUUCUGUAAUCUCUUAAUUAGAAAUUGCCUCCUUUAGAGGCAGAAUAAAUACACCUUUUCAGUAACUUCCAUCCCCACCUCUGGAAUAGUAUCCCCUCAGAUAAAAUAUCAUCUAGUUUUCAGAAUUAGUGGCUGGCUAUGGUAACCAGGCCUAAGGGCAGGCUUGUUAAGGCUAUCCUUGCAAACAAAUAUUUUCACUGUACUUCAAAUAUAUAUCCUGUUUUAAUUAUAAUUUUAUGUUUUUCAUGUUAAAUUGUUAUUGUUUUUAUCCCAAACUAUGGUUUUGUGAAGACUAUUGAUCUAUUAAUUGAAAGGGAUUAUAAAUAAAAAUAAGAACUAGAACUGAAAAUGCUAUGGUGUGUGGUCUUUAAUGCUGAAAAUAGGCUGCAGCACAAGUUGCAUCUAAGAAGGUUGCCUGAGGUUUAUAUGUAUUUGUCCCCUCAAAAAAGCUCUGCUUCUUUUGGUAAGUGCUAAUAGGAUAAACUAAAAGAAGGAUGAUAAGGAGUCAAGAAAUUCCUUGAAGUGCCCCAGCACUCAUAUAAUACUGAUGUUGUAAUCAUUUCUUUCAUAAUGUGUCUUAUUUGAAUAAGCUGACAACCAACUCUUUUCUGCUGGAAACUGUUAACUUUAAAAUAUCGGAUAUCCUGUUUUAAAUAGUGUGUAUAACAGAUUUGCACUCCUGUCAGUUAAUUCUAUAGAAUUUUUGAUGUCACAGAGACCUGUCUUACAGAGGAGAGAACAGU